GCCCCGAAACCUCGGCUGCCAGGCGGGAGGGCUGUGUCACAGGAGGGGUGCGUGAUGGGUCUCAGCCCCUCCGGCUGUCUGCACAGCUCGCCACUCUCCACGUAGACGAGACAACUCGUGGGUCCGGUCGGCUCCGUCCUUCACGCCCCAGGGAAUCAGGUCACUUGUUGGAAAGAAAGUCUGGAGCUGAACCGCCAAGCUGAACCCCCCCCCCCACCCGGUGUGCGGGGCUCCCUCUCCAGUCCCCUGGAUGCUUAGAAAAGCUUCAGAAGACGGAAUUGGAGUGACCAUGUGCACACGCAGGUGUGUCAGUGCAGAAGACCGGAGGGUGCAAGCGGAGGGUGGCUCACCGUGAUGCUGCACACAUGUGCCAGCGUUCCUGCUCCCAUGCAAGCCAGACCUUCCCCUUAGCCUUCCCGUGUGUCCCAGGACAGACAGGUUUCAUCCUACUGAAGGUAAUCCUGUUGCAAAAUAUUAAAACCAAGCACCAAAGCUCGCCAUCUCCACACCAAGGUUUCUUCUACCUUUGCUGCUAAAAGAGGCUGUUAUUAUGCUUAGGAGUGUGACAGACAUCUAAACCCCAGGAAUCCUGAUGUCCAGACUGGAGUUGUGUCCCUGAGGUAUAAACCAGGGGAAAUCAGUGUUUGAGCAUGUUCUUUAAAUUCCCUCCACUAGUCCAUGCCCAGAAAUGGGCACUCCUGGAUGGAUGUGUGCACAUAACCCGAGAGGGUUGAUUUUGGGUGGGUGAAUCUCUUUCUGGACAAGAGUUGUCUCUACAGGACCUCUUUAAGGAGACUACCUGGUGGGCUCAGGUUAGAUUUCUGUGUCUUACGUAGCUAAAAUGUGACCCGAGAGGGAUGUUUGCGUCCCUCAGCAGAGCUUGAGGGGGAAUGUGACGGGAAGCAGGGAUAAAACUCAGCCUGCCAUUUCCAUGUCCAUUCCCUAAGCCAGAGAAAUGGAGCUGGGGAGGAAUCUGAGCCCUGUGGCAAAGCCAACAUCAGCUAAGGACAAAGAAGAGAGAAGUUCAUGGGAAAGUGAGACUGUAACAAAGAAGUAAGCCUGCUUGGCAGUGAAGGUGUUAUUCGGGCUGAGAACUUCAAGGGUCAGAGGUUUUAUCAAUGUUGGAUUAAUAAAAGCACCCGCUAGUGUCCCUCAGUGACUGGGGUCCUCUUCUGUACCUCACUUGCCCUGAUGCUAGUGUUUAUUUAAUCCAGUUAAGCUGUCCCAUGACAAAUUCCUUGCCAGCUUGGCAGAGGUGUUUGGGAGGCCAGGAGCCGACCCUCCCUACUCCUGGAGGGCAGUGCCUUGAUCCCCAUGCCCUCCCAGUGCAGGAAAUGGAGCUGCUCCUGACAUAAGCUACUGCUCAGCAGGGAAACAUGGCCUCUUAACAUUAAUUAUCGUGUACCAAGGUGUUCUUAAAUAAAACAUCCGGAAAGGGUUUCUGAAGGCAAGAUUUGCAGCUCAGCCUGAAUACCCAAGCAAAGGAGAAAUGUGGGACGAGUCUUCUUUGAUCUUCAGUUCAGCCCCAUGGGCGAAACUGGUCUCUCUUCCUGGGCAAAGCAGGAGGGAGAAUGGGCAAUGAAGGGCAUAAUGUUGGCAGAGCUUAGCUGGAGUACGGGCAGGAAUACCCUCACCUCUGGCUGGAAUAUCUCAGCUAUGCCAGGUAGAUAUUAGUCAGCAAGACAGUCUGUGUAAAGUAAGCGUCCAUCUUGGGGAAAGAGUCUCAGAAGAGGCACUAGAAGUCAGCAGCAUGUUAAAAUGCCUCUAGGGCUGGUGUGGAUUGGAGAACUAAUGUACCUGUGCCUCGCAGAUUGCAGAUGUCAACCUCUGCAGCCUGAGCAAAAUACAUAGCCCUCAAAGAUUAAUUCCCGACAUUUAUCGCCUUCUCCCCUGCCCCUCUCUGGGUUGCAGCUUCCCAUCACAGCUCCAUGGAGAGGGCCAGGUCCUUGGCCAGCUUGAACUGGUGUUGAUCGAUCUGCCACACUGAUUUAGACCCCGGUCAGUACACGUGCAGUGUGUGCAGGCAGGCACACAGCUCCAAGGUGCGGCAGCUCUGCCGUCUGUCUCCCUUCUCCCUGGAAAAAUAAAAAUAAAAAUAAAUCACAGCUCUUCUUUGCUCCCUUGUUUCAUGGCCGGAUCUCAUCAGUAGCUCUCUGGGGGUAAUGAGAGAGUCGGCAGAAAAGACGCUUCAAUUUCCUGAAAGGUCAGAUAACAGGGGAUGCCCUUCUUCUCUAAUGGACUGCAAGCCAUGCUGUAGGAGCAGCAGGCUUUAAACUCUCCUUAACUUUGCAGCUCAAGGGAUUAGAAAUUAUGGCUAUUUACUUUCAUGAAAAGCAGCUCCUUUAAAAGAACUGCCGAGGUCCU